rnacentral:misc_RNA from 1 species
GAUGACAGCCACUCACCAGUUGAAAAGUGCUGUGACGUCUGUAGCAUAUGCUGGUCGAUCUCUUCUCCUGACUACCUUGUCAGCUUCAUCCAUGGUUGUGGACGUUGUUGAUCCUUCUGAUUCACUUGUUGACCUGAUGAUGAUUUCCUUGUCGAAUGCAUUACUUGGGAUGGAUGCCAAUGACCCACCUAAAACCUUAGCAACAAUGCAACUAAUUGGCUCCUUGUUCUCCAAUAUGGCUAUACUGGAAGAGACUAUGGACCAGUCCUCAAUCAUGCCGGGAUUUCACUUUUCAGAAUGGCUUGACGAGUUCUUGUUCCGCUUAUUU